UCAGUAAUGUGUGUGUUUCUCCCCUUGGCUGUAUGGAAAUGGAGGUGGCCAUCAAUGUGGCUGCAGAAAGCUAGAGCCAGCACAAAGACAUCGGUGUCUGGGCUCUUGAUUACCAGGUCAUGGCUGUGUUUGGCUGCAAGGGCUGCAUGCAGUAUCAUUCUGGUGUCUGCCACCUCUUGACUUAUCUCUAGGUCUUUGAGUUCCAGUAUCUCAAGGCGGGUUGAUCUUAUCGAGCAAGAUGUGCAUCAGCUUAGCUUUGAUGGCUCUCUGGUCAAA
ensembl:lncRNA